AUUGAACGCUGGCGGCAGGCCUAACACAUGCAAGUCGAGCGAGUGGCGGACGGGUGAGUAAUGUCUGGGAAACUGCCCGAUGGAGGGGGAUAACUACUGGAAACGGUAGCUAAUACCGCAUACUAUCGGAUGUGCCCAUAUGGGAUUAGCUAGUAGGUGGGGUAACGGCUCACCUAGGCGACGAUCCCUAGCUGGUCUGAGAGGAUGACCAGCCACACUGGAACUGAGACACGGCCCAGACUCCUACGGGAGGCAGCAGUGGGGAAUAUUGCACAAUGGGCGCAAGCCUGAUGCAGCCAUGCCGCGUGUAUGAAGAAGGCCUUCGGGUUGUAAAGUACUUUCAGCGAGGAGGCGUUACCCGCAGAAGAAGCACCGGCUAACUCCGUGCCAGCAGCCGCGGUAAUUC
rnacentral:rRNA from 1 species